GAUGAACGCUGGCGGCGUGCCUAAUACAUGCCAGUCGAGCGAACAGACGAGGAGCUUGCUCCUCUGACGUUAGCGGCGGACGGGUGAGUAACACGUGGAUAACCUACCUAUAAGACUGGGAUAACUUCGGGAAACCGGAGCUAAUACCGGAUAAUAUAUUGAACCGCAUGGUUCAAUAGUGAAAGACGGUUUUGCUGUCACUUAUAGAUGGAUCCGCGCCGCAUUAGCUAGUUGGUAAGGUAACGGCUUACCAAGGCGACGAUGCGUAGCCGACCUGAGAGGGUGAUCGGCCCCCCUGGAACUGAGACACGGUCCAGACUCCUACGGGAGGCAGCAGUAGGGAAUCUUCCGCAAUGGGCGAAAGCCUGACGGAGCAACGCCGCGUGAGUGAUGAAGGUCUUCGGAUCGUAAAACUCUGUUAUUAGGGAAGAACAAAUGUGUAAGUAACUAUGCACGUCUUGACGGUACCUAAUCAGAAAGCCACGGCUAACUACGUG
rnacentral:rRNA from 1 species